CGAACGCUGGCGGCAGGCCUAAUACAUGCAAGUCGAACGGCUCUUCGGAGCAGUGGCGGACGGGUGAGUAACGCGUGGGAAUGUGCCCUUUGGUACGGAACAACACAGGGAAACUUGUGCUAAUACCGUAUGUGCCCUUCGGGGGAAAGAUUUAUCGCCAUUGGAGCAGCCCGCGUUGGAUUAGGUAGUUGGUGAGGUAAAGGCUCACCAAGCCUACGAUCCAUAGCUGGUCUGAGAGGAUGACCAGCCACACUGGGACUGAGACACGGCCCAGACUCCUACGGGAGGCAGCAGUAGGGAAUCUUGCGCAAUGGGCGAAAGCCUGACGCAGCCAUGCCGCGUGUAUGAUGAAGGUCUUAGGGUUGUAAAGCUCUUUCAGCUGGGAAGAUAAUGACUGUACCAGCAGAAGAAGCCCCGGCUAACUCCGUGCCAGCCGCCGCCGUAAUAC
rnacentral:rRNA from 1 species